rnacentral:rRNA from 1 species
CUGCAGCCCGAGUGGUGAUCGAUUUUAUUGAGCCUAAAGCGUCCGUAGCCGGACUAGUAAACCCUUGGGUAAAUUGGGCAGCUUAACUGUCCGAAUUCCGAGGGGACUGCUAGUCUUGGGACCGGGAGAGGUCAGAGGUACUCAAGGGGUAGGGGCUAAAUCCUGUAAUCCUUUGGGGACCACCAGUGGCGAAGGCGUCUGACUAGAACGGAUCCGACGGUAAGGGGCGAAACCCUGGGGCGCGAACCGGAUUAGAUACCCGAGUAGUCC